rnacentral:tRNA from 1 species
CAUUAAGAAGCUUUCAUGGAGAAGCAAUAGCCUUUUAAGCUAAAGAUCGGUGA